rnacentral:rRNA from 1 species
GACGAACGCUGGCGGCGUGCUUAACACAUGCAAGUCGAACGGGAUCCGGGUUUUCGGGUUUGGUGAGAGUGGCGAACGGGUGAGUAACACGUGAGUAACCUGCCCCCUUCUUUGGGAUAACGUCGGGAAAUCGGCGCUAAUACUGGAUAUUCUUGCUGCAUCGCAUGGUGUGGUUUGGAAAGGGUUUCUGGUGGGGGAUGGGCUCGCGGCCUAUCAGCUUGUUGGUGGGGUGAUGGCCUACCAAGGCUUUGACGGGUAGCCGGCCUGAGAGGGUGUCCGGCCACACUGGGACUGAGACACGGCCCAGACUCCUACGGGAGGCAGCAGUGGGGAAUAUUGCACAAUGGGCGCAAGCCUGAUGCAGCGACGCCGCGUGAGGGAUGACGGCCUUCGGGUUGUAAACCUCUUUCAGUAUGGAACAAGGAUCCUUCUUUUGGGGGGUUUGAGGGUACGUGCAGAAGAAGCGCCGGCUAACUACGUG